GACGAACGCUGGCGGCGUGCUUAACACAUGCAAGUCGAGCGAUGAAGCUCCUUCGGGAGUGGAUUAGCGGCGGACGGGUGAGUAACACGUGGGUAACCUGCCUCAUAGAGGGAAUAGCCUUUCGAAAGGAAGAUUAAUACCGCAUAAGAUUGUAGCUUCGAAUGAAGCAGCAAUUAAAGGAGUAAUCCGCUAUGAGAUGGACCCGCGUCGCAUUAGCUAGUUGGUGAGGUAACGGCUCACCAAGGCGACGAUGCGUAGCCGACCUGAGAGGGUGAUCGGCCACAUUGGGACUGAGACACGGCCCAGACUCCUACGGGAGGCAGCAGUGGGGAAUAUUGCACAAUGGGGGAAACCCUGAUGCAGCAACGCCGCGUGAGUGAUGACGGUCUUCGGAUUGUAAAGCUCUGUCUUCAGGGACGAUAAUGACGGUACCUGAGGAGGAAGCCACGGCUAACUACGUGCCAGCCGCCGCGGUAACAC
rnacentral:rRNA from 1 species